CUUUCUGAGUCCUUAACUUGCAACCAAAUUUAAAAAAGUUUAUAGAUACAAAAUAUACUCCUUCGUCUCAUAUGAUUUGAUAUUGUUUUACUUUUACACAUCCAAAUGUAGAACUUUAGCCAUUAAUAUUCUUAAUCAUCUAUUAUCAACAAUUAAAAAAAUUGAUAUUUUGAAAAUAUUCGUGGAGAUAAAUUGAACACAUUUUAUAUACUAAUAUUCGUAGAUGAUUAAGAAUAUUACUGAAUCAUAGUCUGUAACCCUAAUAAAAAAACUACUACAACUGCUAUGUUGUCAGAGACAUAGGCACAAUUUACCAAACUAUGUGACCAAUUUCUUGUGUUUUGUCAACCUUUUAUUUAUCUAUUUACUUUAGAACUGGUUUCACAACACUACAACUACAUGCUACAUGUAACAUGUAACUUAUCUACUACUUUACUUCCUUCCUUCAAAUUCAUAGAUGUGGAUGUUGUAAGGUAAGCAAAGACUUGUGUAUUUUGCCAGGAAGACAAAUAAUUUUAGUCUACAAUUUUGAUGUUAUAGUACAACUGCUACUUCUAAAUUCUAAUUUAUAAUAUUUUAUGUUGCUGCAUAUUUCAUGUUGUUGCAUUCUAAUUUCCAAAAACAAGAGGAAGAACUUCCAAAUAUGGUCUUAUAUACAACUCUUCUUUCAUUGGCAAAGCCUCUUCCAGGAAUAAAGGUCGAAUUGCUCGCAAUCUUGCAAACAAAUGUUCAAUUGCAUCACGAAUUGACUGCUUUUCUGAAAGUGGUAAUACUAUUGCAUUUGGGGAGAAACUUCGAGAAUUCAGUCAAAUGCGGUUGAUGCAGCUUUAAUCUUUGUCGCGUUGCAAUUUUAGGAACGUAAAAACCUGUUACAGCGCGGUCGAGAUAGUAGUAGACGACCUUAAUUUAAAACCCGAUGUGAUUGAUUUGGUUGAUAGGAUCUUCUGUUUUUAAAUUCUUUUAGUUAGGAUUUUUUACUAUAUUAACAUGAUUUUUUCUUUUGCCAU